AAAAACUAGAGGAAGAAAAAUGGUCAUCAUCUGACUGUUCUCUAAUACAAGCAGAAAGCUAAAUAUGACAAUGUUUAGCUUUCUGCUAAAUAUGACAAUGGUUAGCUUUCUUCAAUGUCUGAUGCCUUGAGAGAUAUUGUUCAUGAUACUGAAUUUUUCACUAUUCCAGUACCACUCAACUGUAAACACAAUACCUCACAUCUUGAUUUGAAUGGAACCAGAGCUCAUAGCCAGGGGAAGGAACUCAAAACUGAGAUCCCUAUCCCUGUUGUCCUCUUUACAACAAGGAUGCGGGAUUGGAAUUAUAAAAAGGAAAAUUUAAUUUAAUAUCAUCAUGAAUAUUAUGCAUA
rnacentral:lncRNA from 1 species